rnacentral:rRNA from 1 species
UACGUAGGGUGCGAGCGUUAAUCGGAAUUACUGGGCGUAAAGCGUGCGCAGGCGGUUUUGUAAGCCAGAUGUGAAAUCCCCGGGCUUAACCUGGGAAUGGCAUUUGGGACUGCAAGGCUUGAGUGCGGCAGAGGAGACUGGAAUUCCUGGUGUAGCAGUGAAAUGCGUAGAUAUCAGGAGGAAUACCGAUGGCGAAGGCAGGUCUCUGGGCUGACACUGACGCUCAUGCACGAAAGCCUGGGGAGCAAACAGG